GUGAAAGUAAUGUUUAAGAAUGCUAAAGUAUGAGAUUAUGACAUAUAGGCACAAAGAAGGAAGAAGGCGCAAGUCACUCGAAGGCACAAGCAUCUCAAGAUCGCGGUAAAUCCCUUGCUUGAUUGCGGCGCACCCGGACCGAACACACACACGAAAUGUCGACCUUAUGCGCUUCCGGUCCAAGUUGUUUGUUUUGAUGGGUUAACUUACCAUUUUGUCUAGUAAAUGUUAUUUAGUAAGUGUCUAGUUUGUUAGUAAGAAGUUUGGAUACUAAACUUUUGUGUAGUUUGUACAAAAUGUUCAUGGCGAACCAUAUAUGGUCUUAACUUUUGUUA